CAUCACACAGCCAUCUUACAUAGGGCACUGUGGCUGAGCUGACACUUUAAAUGAAACUUAAAGGAUGACUAAAAUUCACCCAAAGGACAGCAAGGACAUCCCAGGCAGAAGAGAUAACAUAUAAGCACAGAUGGAGGGAGCCUCCCUGCCAAAAGAGUCUCCGCCUGGAGUUGAAAGACCCACUCUGCUCCUCACUGAUGUGCUCUCAGUCUCCUCAUCUGUGAAAUGGAGACAAUCAAAUCACACCUGUGCUGCCCACCUCAGGAUCAUUGCUGCGAGGACUGAGCAAGAUGACGCGUGUGAAAGAGGGGCAAAACUGCCAAGUCCUCCACACAUAGAAGUCAUGCUGACUCUGCAGACAUCUCGCCAUUCUAUUCUAAUUUGGGAGCUAAUUCUUUAUUAAAAUUUUAUUUUUA